rnacentral:rRNA from 1 species
GACGAACCGUGCGAACGUUGUUCGGAAUCACUGGGCUUAAAGGGCGCGUAGGCGGCCUGUCAAGUCCGGGGUGAAAGCCCCCAGCUCAACUGGGGAAGUGCCUCGGAUACUGACGGGCUCGAGGGAGGCAGGGGUCGUGGGAACUUCCGGUGGAGCGGUGAAAUGCGUUGAUAUCGGAAGGAACGCCGGUGGCGAAAGCGCACGACUGGUCCUCUUCUGACGCUGAGGCGCGAAAGCCAGGGGAGCAAACGGG